rnacentral:tRNA from 1 species
GCCGAAAUAACUCAGUUGGUAGAGUAACUCAUUCGUAAUGAGUAAGUCGCGGGUUCGAGUCCCGCUUUCGGCUCCU